rnacentral:rRNA from 1 species
UCGAGAAUCUUCCGCAAUGGACGAAAGUCUGACGGAGCGACGCCGCGUGUGGGAUGAAGGCCUUCGGGUUGUAAACCACUGUCGGGGGGAGCAAAUUUGAGCGAUCCCCGGAGGAAGCACAGGCUAAAUUCGUGCCAGCAGCCGCGGUAAUACGAAGGGUGCAGGCGUUAAUCGGAAUUACUGGGCGUAAAGCGUGCGCAGGCGGCUCCUUAAGUCAGAUGUGAAAUCCCCGGGCUUAACCUGGGAACUGCGUUUGAAACUGAGGGGCUAGAGUGUGGAAGAGGGGGGUGGAAUUCCAGGUGUAGCAGUGAAAUGCGUAGAGAUCUGGAGGAACACCGAUGGCGAAGGCAGCCCCCUGGGCUAACACUGACGCUCAUGCACGAAAGCGUGGGGAGCAAACAGGAUUAGAUACCCCCGUAGUCCCUGAGCGGGCUGGCAAGGCGCAU